AUACGGAGGGUGCAAGCGUUAAUCGGAAUUACUGGGCGUAAAGCGCACGCGGGCGGUUUGUUAAGUCAGAUGUGGAAUCCCCGGGCUCAACCUGGGAACUGCAUCUGAUACUGGCAAGCUUGAGUCUCGUAGAGGGGGGUAGAAUUCCAGGUGUAGCGGUGAAAUGCGUAGAGAUCUGGAGGAAUACCGGUGGCGAAGGCGGCCCCCUGGACGAAGACUGACGCUCAGGUGCGAAAGCGUGGGGAGCAAACAGGAUUAGAUACCCUGGUAGUCCACGCCGUAAACGAUGUCGACUUGGAGGUUGUGCCCUUGAGGCGUGGCUUCCGGAGCUAACGCGUUAAGUCGACCGCCUGGGGAGUACGGCCGCAAGGUUAAAACUCAAAUGAAUUGACGGGG
rnacentral:rRNA from 1 species